rnacentral:lncRNA from 1 species
AUGAAAGAUAAAAAUGGAGAUAUAGCUGUUAUAUAAAAAUGUCAAGUAGAAGUAUUUGCAAGAAUGUAGAGGAAAAGAAAAACUCGCACACUGUGAUGGAUCCAACUUUUCUUCAUGGUAGAGAUACCCUAACUGCCCUCCAAACAAAGUUGCUAGUAUUGGAAGGAGGUUUGAGGAUACUCAUCUAGUGCAAGAGAUCCCUCAUCAAUUUCACUUCAUCUUUUCACAGAGCUUCCGGUUGUAUAAUUCUGCAGUGUAAUUCAGUUACUACCAAAGAAUCUCAUGUCAUUUUUUAACACUUUUCACUGCUUGAAAGGUCCAUAGGUUAAAUAUGGAAUUUACAACUUUACCUUUUCCACUAUCCUUUUGUACAUCUUUAACCAAUCAACAAACAUCUCUCAAUUUAUUUUCCUUAAAUGUAAUAAGUAAAAAGUGUGGUUGAGUGGAAGAUUACCAAAGUCCUCUGAUUUAGAUGUAUUGUAUUGUGUUGUUUUGUUUUUUUCCUCCCGGAAGUUCA